UGGUCCUGCGGGCGGGCAGGUUGCACCCAAGCGAACGUUCUCACGCCAAGAACAACACGGGUCUGUGACCCUGUGAGACCGACGUACAAAAAUGUAAUGUCCCAGAACUUUUCAGUGAGAUGAUCGAUCAGAAGUUGAUUUGCAGAUUUGCAAUGCAUAUGUAAACGAAGACGCGGGGAGGCAAGAGAAAGCUACGUGAAGCGAGGGACAAUUGUAUGAGAAGAGGUUUUAGGCAGUAUGCAGGAAGACCUUUGCUCAGCACAAAAUCGUCAUUGGUUUGGUCAAAUUGACGAUUUCCGUUGGCGUAGAUUACGUAUUUUCAAAUCGGGAGCUUGUAGAUUGGGUUUAUCUCGAGGAUUGCUACAUAUAUAGUUUAGAUAUACUAGAACACUUUUGUACGCAUUAUAUUGUUUUAUAAACAUCAUUAUGUAACCAUAGAUAGGACUAAGCUUCAAGUAAGCUUCAAAAAUUGUUGUUUUGACAUUGAUCAUAGUAAAACCGAGCUUUCUGCUCCCAUAGACAUAGGCUAUUGAUGAAUCACGCAAAUAUUGUGCGUUCUAGUUGUGUUUUUUAUUCUUCUUAUUAUUGUUCGAUUGCUUCUUGAGUA